rnacentral:tRNA from 1 species
GGAAGCGAUUGGAGCCUGGUGGCUUCCACGGUCUUCAAAACCGUUGGCCCGCGAACAGCGGGCGGUGGGUUCGAUUCCCAUCCGCUUCCGCCA